UUUUUUUUUUUUUUUUGCAUUAGAUGUUAAAUUUACAUUAUAAGAGUAUUUUUGAAUAACAAUGUAUUCAAGAAAGGUUAUAAUAGAUUAUACAAUAAGUUUGUAUUUUAUGCAAAUAUUUUUAUGAACUACACUAAAUAAUUUAUUUUUUUUAGACAAUUCCCAUUCAACGAAUGGGUAUAAAACUAGUAUAUAUAAUAAAGUCGUAUUCUCAUUCUUAUCACUUUAUACUUUCUCUUUCCUACGUGACUUAACGACAUGACAAGUAGUUUCAACUCGCUCUAUAAAAUAACCUACGCUCUUCCAUCUCAAUUUUCACCUUUUUUUUAAAAAUAACCUAUACUCUAUACGGAGCUUAUCUCUCUCUUUUCAUAAACAUGAAAUCAAUUAUCAAUAUCAAUCUAAAUUUAAUUUCAAAUAUAAAACCGUCCUUAUCAUCCAUGUAUGACUUAUAAAACCGUUAUUAUAACCGUCCUAAGCAUUCUAUCCUAGAUUUGCAGCAGAUUAUCAUUCUAUCAUAAUCAUAUAUUUGCGGCCGCUUGCUCCUCUUUUGGUUUGUGAACUUCUAGGUAUAACAAGGUAUGACCCGUAUAAUUUCUUUAACAUGCACGCCUUUAGUAAAACUAUUUUUUAUUAUCAUCUUUUUAUAUUCUUAUCAAUAUCUUUUUAUAUCCUUAUCAAUUCUUAUUUCCUACCCAAAGUUAAAUACUUUAAGCAACUUAAUUUAAGAUAAAACUACUUUUAAUUUUCUUAACAAUAUCUCUUUAUAUCCUUAUCAAUUUUUAUUUCCUACCCAAAGUUACAUACUUUAAGCAACUUAAAUUAAGAUAAAACUACUUUUAAUAUUUUUAUCAAUAUCUCUUUAUAAGCUUAUCAAUUCUUAUGCCUACAUAUAACCUCUAAUAAACGAAUUUCAAUUAAGCAUCAAAUUCAUGGUUAAGCAUUUUCAGUGCAAGCGGUUGGCACAUUAAAGCAUCGAUUUUGGGUUUCCACUCCUCUUGAUUAUCAGGUACAUCUUUCUUCGAUACACAUUUUUCUUUUUUAAAAAGACAUGUUCAUCUUCAAUUAUAAGCAUUUAGUAACAUAUCUUGAAUUUUGUGUGUUUUGGUUUUAUUUUCUAUUUGUUUUGUAUGAAGAGAUAGGAUUUAAACAAGUAUUUUCAUCUUAAGUUUUCAUAUACAUUAAGUUUGUAUUUAAGAAAGGUUAUAAUAAAAUAUACAUUAAAUUUGUAUUUCAUAUAAACAUUUUUAUAAAAUUGGCUAAAUAAUUUAUUAUUUUUCGACGAUUCCGUUCAACGAACGGGUACAAAACUAAUUUGCUAUUAAAAGAGAGUAAAAAGUGCAUUAAAUUUGAAAUUUCUAAAAGAUAACACUCUGCAUGCAGGAUUUGAAAUCUGAAUGUCCCACGAUUUGAAGUGGGCCAUAUUCUACUGAUCAAUUGCAACAGAAUCAUUGUUUCUUUAUGGAGAUAAUCUCUGCUGAUUAGUUACUAUAGGGACAAAAUAUUUGGUUUCCUUUUUAUUAGUACUAUAUUAUUUAGAAUCACAUUCCAAAAAGGACUGUUAUCCUUUUGGUUAUGGGAAUAACUCAAGGAUAGCGUAGGAGAGUUGAUCAUGACUCGGGAGUAGUCAAUUAGGAAUGAAUAAAGCCAAAGAGGAGAAUACGAUCCUCAGGCCUUUUGUUUUUUCUUUCGUUGAAACAAAAUUUUCCAUUAUUCCUUUUCUUUUCUUUUCUUUUCACUUUAAUUAAAAAAUCCUAAAAAUAUCUUUUGCUACGAUUCCAUUACGAUGAAUGGCUAAUUUUCUGUUGUAGUUAGAGGAUUAUCAAAGUUUUGGUUCAUCGAAUACUGUGAAAUCUAAUUUAAUUGAUUUGUUUCAUUUAUUUAUGAGUAAUUUAAUCCUAUAAAACCUUUUCUUACUCCUAAAAUGAAGAAUACUUUUUAUAAAUUGAUAGGUAUCGAGUUACAUACUAAUUCUAAGUGUAUCAUUUUCAUGGAUAAAUGCUCUAUGUGGCUUCAGUGUAAAUUUUAAAUUUAGUCAAUUGAGAUUCAUGUUGUGCAAUGCCAUCAGUGCGACAUUGCCAACUUGAAAGCCUUUCAACAUUUAGUACGAUAUUGUUCAGAAAUAAGUGUAAUAAGGCUAUAGAAUUAUAUUCUUAGUAAAUUCUUAUACCUAUUAAAUUUCAUUACUUUAUAAUGAUUUUGUACAUUUAAAUAUGACAUUUAUUUUAAGUUUUGUGCAUGAACGUGGUUCAAUAUUCACUCAACUUAACAGCAAAAAAAUAUCUCAAUAGAUAUCUCAAAACAAACAUAGCAAUUUAAAAGCAUGAAAAGACUUCAUGAUUCAUGUUUCAACCUCAAGCAGCUCAGCAUCCAUUUUGUUAUUUAGGCUGAACACAAGCAUAAUGGUCAUCACGCCAAUUAAAAGGAUUGACUUCGGCCGUUUUCCAUCAAUUGCGUUGGUAGGAUAUAGAUUUCUUUGUUUGUCGAAAUAAUUUGUGACAUGCACGGGGUAUACAUAUACAAUUAGUUCAUUCACAGUCAAGUUUUACAUUUAUAACAUCCUAAAUACCCUACACAAGAUUUUUCUGCAAGUAUACAGGUGGUGAGCGAGUAUAGGGUACUAAGAGUCGAACCCAUAAGGAAGAUUUUCAAUUACUGGUGAUUUUCGAACUUCUUUAUUAUCUAGAAUACCAUAAACGUAAAAGUAAUGAAAAUAAUGCUAGAAAGUUUCUAGAGGUAUGGAAUUCCUUACUAUUCUUGCAAAUGAAGUUACCGGUUAAGUGAAUGUUAUUAUCUUACCUAGUUAUGGUGUAAUUUCCUAAUGUAUGUGAAACCUACUCUCGUAGUGAAUCGACUAUACUUAUAGCUAAACCAUACCUACUCUCGUGGUUAUGAAUUAACUACAAACUCAUUUCUUCUAUGAAAUUACAUGAAACAAGUCACUAAAACCACAAAGGUGCACCUCUACUCUCGUGAGUGUAUUCCCUAGGUUUAUCACUUCCUUGAACUAGUAUCAAGUUUCAAUUUUCAUUGCAAACUUAACACCUUUAGAUAAUCAUAACUAAUGGCCGGUUAAUCAUGAUUAGAAAAGCAAAAGUAAUAAAUAACUUGUUCAAAAUAAUAUCAUCAAAUAAUCAAGUAAAUAUCACAAACAAGAUAUAGAAAGUUCAUCCAUAACUCUAGGCAUAAACUUUAACUAAACAUGAUAAAAACACGAAGCCAAACUUGUAUUAUAGCUAAACAUGAAAUCAAAUACAAGAGAGCAAGCAGUAGAAGAGAUAUCACCCUUGUCACAUGAGAUCAACCUCUCCAUCUUUGCUCCUCAAUCUUCAUCCAAAUCUAACUAUAAAUACAAGAAAGAGAAACUACACUAACUACUCUAUACUACCCUAACUAAUGAACUAAGGAAAUUCUAGUGAAAACUACGGCUCCAUUUGGAUUAGCUGUUUUUGGGGUUGUUUUUCAAAAACAGCACUGUAGCAUUUCGUUUUUGAAAUACAAAUCCGUUUGGAUUAGUUGUUUUUGCGGUUGUUUUUCAAAAACUAUAUGAAAAACUUUUACUGUAAAUGUUUUUUGGAUUAGAGGUAUUUUUAAAAAAUAUUUUUGGGUAUUUUUAUAAUUUAUAAUUUAUAAUUUUUAUUUUUACAUACAUUUAUGCAUUUAUAAAUAUUUAUAAAUAAAUAUAUUUAUAUAAAAAUAUAUAAAUUUAUGUAUUAUAUUAUAUAUAAUACAUAAUAUAAAUAUAUUUAUAAAUGUAUAAGUGUAUAUUAUUAUAAAUGUAUAAAUUAUAAAUGAAUAUUAUAUAAAUUUAUAAAUUAUAAAUGAAUAUUAUAUAAAUGUAUAAAUUACAAAUUAUAAAUUUUAUAUUUUUAUAUAAAUAUACAUUUAUGCAUUUAUAAUACAUUUAUAAAUAUUUAUAAAUAAAUAUAUUUAUAUAUUCAUAUAAAAAUAUAUAAACGUAUUAUAAAUUUAUUAUAUUAUAAAUAAUACAUAAUAUAAAUAUAUUUAUAAAUGUAUAACUAUAUAUUAUUGUAAAUGUAUAAAUUAUAAAUGAAUAUUAUAUAAGUGUAUAAAUGUAUAAAUGUAUAAAUUUUAUAUUUUUAUAUAAAUAUACAUUUAUGCAUUUAUAAUAUAUUUAUAAAUAUUUAUAAAUAAAUAUAUUUAUGUAUUUAUAUAAAAAUAUAUAAAUGUAUUAUAUUAUAUAUAAUACAUAUAUUAAUAUAUUUAUAAAUGUAUAAGUGUAUAUUAUUAUAAAUGUAUAAAUUAUAAAUGAAUAUUAUAUAAAUGUAUAAAUUAUAAUUUUAUUCAUAUAUGUUAAUAUUAUGUAUAAAUGUAUUAAUAUAAUUAAUAUAAAUGUACAAAUGUAUUAAUAUUAUGUAUAAAUGUAAAAUUAAUAUUAUGUAUAAAUGUAUAUUAUAAAUAUACAUUAAUAUAUAUAUUAUGUAUAAAUGUACAUUUAUAUAAAUGUAUAAUAUAUAAAAUAUAUAUUAUAUAUUAUAUUAUACAUAAUUUAUAUAAUAUAUAGUAUUCAUAUAAAUAUAUUAUAAAUAUAUAAAAAUAUUUUUAAAUAAAAUUAAAUAUUUAUAAUAUGUAUAAAUAAAUAAAUAAAUAAUUAAUAUAUAUAAUAUACAUUAAUAUUAAUUAUAAAUAUUAUAAUAUUAUAAAUAUGGUGUUUAUAUAAUAUUUCAAUUUGUAAUAUUUAUUGUAUAUUUCAUUAUACAAAUAUUUGUAUAGUAUAUAAUAUAUAAUUUCCAAUUUGUAUAAUAUACAUAAUAUUGUAUAUAUAUAAUAUAAUAUACAUAAUAUAAUAUAUUUAUACAUAAUAUACAUUAUUACAUUAUUACAUAUUAUGUAUAUUAUAUAUUAUACAUAACAUUAUUAUACAUUAUUAUACACAAUAAUGUACAUAAUAAUAUCAUACAUUAAUAAUAUAUAUAUUAUAAUAUAAUGUACAUAAUAUAUUAUGUAUAAAUAUUUACACAUUUAUGUAUACAAUAUUACAUAUUAUGUAUAUUAUAUUAUGUAUAUUAUAUUAUAUUAUGUAUAAUAUACAAUAUUAUGUAUUAUAUUAAUGUAUAUAAACAUUUAUAUAAUAUAAUAUAUAUAUUUUUUCAAUUUGUAUAUUUCAAUUUAUAUUAAUAUAAUAUAUAUAUAAUAUAUACAUAAUUGAAAUAUACAAAUGUAGUUGUUUUUGAUAUAAUGUUUGGAUAUGGUGUUUUUGGAGUUGUUUUGGAAAUACACAUUUACUAGCAUUUGGAAUGUGAAAAAUAGUUUUUCAAAAACAACUCCAAAAACAAGGGAUCCAAACGGACCCUACAUUUUUUGUGAGUUUCUCUAACCUUCCAAAGUUGUGAAAAUGUUCUCCAAGGCCUCUAUUUAUAAAGGAAUUCAAGCUCAAGGUGAGUUGUUGAGGUUGAUGUAAAUUGCUCCUUGGAAUCACCAAAAGAUGCUUCUUGAAUUCUCUAUACUUACUUGCUCAGUUCCAGCUGGAUUUCUUGCAGAUAAAUUGAUCAAAAAUCUUGUGUGAAUAGAGCACAAGUUGCAGAGCCGCAAUUGGAGAUUCGAGGGCAAGAUCCAAGGUCGGAUCGCUCAAAAUACCCCUCGGAUCUCAUUUUUCUUCAUUUUUAUUUUCACUGCACAUUAAGAUCCGAGGCUCGUAACAUGGGGAUCCGAGCCCGGACCUCCCCUCGGAUAUAGCCUCUGAUUACAGAAGUUUAUCCGAAGUCAGGUUUAGUACAAAUCCAAACUUGGAUUUACUUGCUCUGUGUUUUUCCAACUUCCACUGAUCUUUUCUUGAUGAUGGAGGCUGAACUAGUUCUUGUUCAAAAUAUAAAAGUUGUAGCUCUUUGAGUUCGCUUUUCAAUGCAUCAAGAAUCAUCCAAUUUAAAGCUCUGUGAACUGAGAAAUGACUAAAAAACCCUCAACUGGUCAGAACUCUUUUUCAGCUUUCGACCAUGAAAAUGCACUUCUGUAUUUCGACUUUUUAACAAUGAAAACGACUGAACUGGAUUUCUAUGUUUCCAUACCAAAUAUAGAUCUAUCUCUUAGCUUCAAAAUGGUAUAAGAAUCGUCUCAAUUAGAUACUUGUACUCAAGAUAUUAUCAAAAUACCACAAUAUAUCGAAGCUGUGAAACUUGCUUCCUUUUGUUCUUGCUUGCAUUUCCUCUUUUGCAUUUCAUGUCUUCUUUAAACUAAUUCAAAUCAUCAUCAAUCAUCCAAAUAUCUUCUCAAAUCACUUCAUUUGAUGAUUGAAUCCUUAAACCUAUAAAAACAUGAAGUUUUUACGAUAAAAAUCCAUAGAAAUGCAAUUUUACUACUUAAACCACAAAAUGUAUAUUUUCAUUUGAAACCCAGUUCAUUAGCUAUAAACAUGACUAAAACACACCGAAACUAAAUAAUAAAAUACACUUAAAACACUCAAAAUAUGCACUUGUCAAUUUGGACACCAAGGAUGGGAUUUGGACACUAAUGUUAAAAGAAGUUUUGCCAAACUGGAAUAAGCAUGUGGAGGGUUUAAAGCAGGAAAGUUUUGAGAACAUGUAACAAUUUUCUAUUCAGUAGUUGAUUCACAAAAAAUCAUUUCUAUUAUUUAAAGACUAACUAAGUUCUUCUCCUUCAAGCUGUCAAUGGUAUCCUUUAGGCUGACAUCCAAUGGAAUCAAUUCCAUUCCCAAGCUUUUAACUUUCUUGUUUGAUACUCCAUAGUCUGGGUGUUGGGAAUUGCCACUGGUAGAACACCUAAGGAAAAAGUGGAGAGGUGAAUACAGAUAUACUCAUCAAAUUUAACUCUUCAAAAAUGAGGAGGGCAUUUGCUAUAUGAUGCAUAUGUAAUCAAUGUUCACUACUUUGUUCCUUGUUGACAUUCAAAUGAACAUGAUGCUACCAAUUUCUAACUGCAUAACUGUCCAGUAAACACAUGACUGUGGCCUAUAUAUCUGGCCCUUGCCCAAGAAAUUUAGCCUAGAAGCAAGUUGAGAGGCUCAGAAGUUAGUCUGGAAGGUGGAACUCAUAGAAGGAAGAAGAGAUGACACUUUCAAGCUGAAUUCACUAAUUUGAACCGACUCUUUUAACCCUGUGAAAUCUUUUGGCAUUGCAGGUUGAAUUUCUUCCAGAUUGGGCAUCUUACAGAACAGAAGCCUCUCACAGGAACUUUUAUCCUACCAGAACCAGAAUCUAUCCUGGCUUGGCUCCAAGACCAAGCAUCAUCACGCCAUUUUGCCUAGUCCAUAAUACCUACCAAAAUACAUUGAAACAAUAUGCCAAAUAUUUUGGUUCAGUAUUAUCAGAAAGCAUCUAGUUGUUGGAUACUUGAAUUCAUUUCUAUAAAGAGGUAUAUCUUUCCUGCUUUGUAUUCAAAGAAUUCUGUAAUAGACCUUUCUAACUUAAUAUGUUAAAACCUUUCUGUAAGCAAUUGGAAAACCAAAAUGCUGAUUUGGUCAUAGUAACUUGAAAUAGUCAAAUUUGAAGUACAAUAUCAGGAGAUAAACAUUUUGUUUUGGUACUUUAUUUUUUGCUAUUCCUGUAGCAAAAAGAAUGCUGGAUUAUGCUCCUAUUUGAAAUUCUGGAUGGUGGCUUGGGGAGCAGAUCAACUCCUGUCUGAUUCACAGUUGAAUCAGCUUAAGCAAUUGAACAAAUGGAUUCUUCUACGACUACAUUACCUCUAUUCUAAGUGUCUUUCCAUCCAAUGAAACAGAAAGAUAUACCGGUAAAAUUUACAGAUUCUAUACUGAUGGCAUAAGGCAAAACCAUAUCAAAUCAAUUAUUUCAUCCAGAAGUAUGGAGGAUCCAAGUGAUAGUUGAAAAACUUUUAGUUGAUCAUGCAGAAAGUUGUCACAAUUACAUAUUUUGUUGGACCUCAACUCAUGAAAAAACCUUAUUGCAAGAAGAAAUCAAAGAAAGUGGCUCGUUUAUGAGAAGAUGAUGCUUAACAACAUAGAAUAUACUUUUAAUCAGAUUCAAAGGAGAUGUCAUGACAUAUGACAUAAUUUGGCAUGGAAUUAGUUGAAGCUAUACAUACAUAUCUGGUAAGUGGAGAGUAGGGUAAAGUUCUCGCAGAAGUUUGGUGAGCUGAGAGAUGUGAGCAGAUCUCUCAAUUAUACAAUAUCUUCCACUGGCAGAAGGGAUUUCAAAGGCUAGAAUGUGUGCAUAGGCUACAUCUCUAACAUCAACCCAUCCAAAAGGUGCACCCUUGAUCGAAUCAGCUCCUGCAUUGAAAAAUUCAAUGAAUAAUAUGAUCAACCUGUAAUCACUAACAUAUCUUGCCAGUGUUUUUGAAGGCACUAUUAGCCAAUAUUGAGAGAGAAAAAUAGGCAAAACUAGAAGCUAGUGCAGCUUUUUGGUCGAAAUGGAGAUUUACAUUGAGAAUUGCAUAUCUCUUUUCUUCUUUCUUGGUACACCAAUAGCUAUCAAAGAAAGUGAUUAUUGGGAGGUCAAUAAGCUAGUAAGGCAGGUCAUUAACCACUUGAAACAACUGUUGGACUCAAAAGUUGCAUAACUGAUUUAGUCUUUUGGAUGCAAUUUUAGUGACUCAAUUAAGUAAUACAUGCUAAAAAUGUCCUCAAGUCUUUUGCUUUUAUUCAAGUUUCCAACAGUCUGUCUACUUUCAUAACAAAAGCCAUUUACUAGGCAAUCCAGGCUAAGAAAUCAACGUGAUUGUCAUGAAUAUGCAGGUUUGUCUGGAUGAUAUGUGUUCAAAGUUCAAACAGACAGGUAAUAUAUAGAAUGAAGUUGAAAAAAUUGUUGCUUCCUUCCCUCCAUAUGUGAUAGUAAAUCAACCAAAAUAGAUAGAUAGAUAGAUAUAUAUAUAUAUAUAUAUAUAUAGAGAGAGAGAGAGAGAGAGAGAAAGAGAGACAGACAGACAGACAGACAGAGAGAUUUGUCAUCUGUUCUUGCAAAAGGUAAAAGCUAAGGAGAGCCAUCUGUUCUGGUGGAAUGCUAAUAGGUAGACUUCUGCAGUGUGAUUGGUUAUACUAUCUAGGCAAAAAACUUUGGGAUUCAUGAUAACUUUUCCGAGCAAUAGGAUGUCUUUCAACUGAUAAAACUGAGAUUCAAAUAUACAUUACACAAGUAAAAAUAGUUAGGAAUUACACACCUUUUUGUAAUACUUCAGGGAGGAAAAAUAUUUAGGAAUAUUACUCAAAUAUUUUUCUUUGUGUAUUUGACUUAAAAUGCAAAUUUUGCAGCAAGAAAGGUGCUAUCAUAGAUGAAACCAAAAGAAAAAUUAGACAGGAAUAUUCAAAGAUAGUAUAAGUAGAUAUACAUUGAUUAUAUGUGCCUUCACUUGUAUUUAUGUACCUUUGCUUUAGAUUACCCAAAAUGCUAUCAGUGAAAAUUUGAAUUCAGAUGGAACAUGAUGGGCAAGAAUGCAUAUAUUUGUUCGGAAAUUCUUUUGUUAAAUGAAUAGACUCUAAAUAUCAAUAGAGUUACUUAAGAAUUACUUGCUUGUACUACUUUGCGAAGAACAAACUUCAAAUGGCUAGGAAGCCUCUAACUGAAAAACAUAAACACACAUCAGAUAGAGCAUGAUUAACUAGAGAUCUUAAAGGUUUCCAGAAGUACCAUUUACUAGGUUCAGGAUUAUUCCUACACUUUGACUGGCAAAAGGCUGCAGGAUAGGACCAAUAACCAUUCCUGGAUUAAUCACAAUCAUGUCAAUUCCGUGCUUUUUUGUGAAUUGCCAUGCAGCAUUCUCUGCUAAAAUUUUUGAAAGUACAUACCACAUCUGAAAAGACCAAAAGGUUUGUCAGUUAUCCUUGUAAAAGGUAUUUCUUCAAGAAGGACAAUACAAAAGCAUGUUUUGGAAAAACAAAAGAACUCUGAAAAUCCUCCUGUCUCAUUCCAAGUUUUGUCCAACAUUUGAGAUCAAGAGUUGUUGGCCUAGUCCAUGUCUGAAGUGGCCAAAGUUGGUGUUAGAUUAUGAAGGCUGGUGGUUUUGGCAACACUAGGCAUGUUAUAUAGGGCUAUCUUAGGGAUGGCAUGUCUUUAAUGGUGCGUGAUCACGAUAUCCAGGAACUGCUCAGCACUGGACAUCUCAGAAUCAUUUCAGUGACACAUAACGCCAUUGUUGAAUUGCAACUACCAAUUCACCAUAAGCAUCAUAAGUCCCCAGUUCAAGUCAAAAGAUUGGGGUAUUGCAAUUCCUAGAUUUUUACCCCUGUCCUUACCUCGGUUAUAAUUAGCACUUUCUGCACUGCCUUCCAGGUAUAAUGAAACCUAAAGGUUAGACAUAUCUAGACAGGCUAUGAUUUAGACACAACUAGUUUUCAUCAAUUUCUCAAGAAUAGUGUUCAACCUCCUUUGGAGAAAGCUUAUCUAGAUAACUUUAUUUGAUUAUGGUCUACAAAAAAAUACAAAAUAUCAGCAUAACACUUGUUCAGCACAAUUUUUUUGCGUCUCAAUCUUAUACGUACUGUUUCAAUUUUAAGGCCAUAUUAUCAAUCAUUGUGACUGGAAAGCUUCCCGUUAUGUGAGGUGCAUAAUAGUGUGCCCUAAUAUCCUUACAUAUAUGAAGUGUGCAUAUGAACUUUUUUCAAUUACUAGUAACUUUCUUUUAGUUCUUCGAGAUUUGGCUAGCACUAUCCUGUUGUGAUUCUCUGAAAACUCUGCACAUAGCUAUAGGAAGUAAUUCGAGUUUUAUGGUGCAAGCCUAACACCUGAUACUAACAUUUCAGUUGCAGUUACUUGAUUUCUUCUGAAUAAGCUAGACCAUCUGUCAUGUUAAAUUCAUCUUAAAAUUGCAUACUGUUGCUCUAUGCCUGUUUUGAUUCCCUGCCAUCAGCCUUGUGAUUUUUUGGUGAUGUCAAAUAGUCAUCCUUGGAAACACAGGCAAUAUUUGUUCUCUAUUUUCUAGACAAACUAUCAAAUCGUCUUUCUCUUGAUGCUUUCAUACAUCAUUAACUCUACUGAUCAAAACCAUUAUAAUUGUUGCUUAGACGCACGCACACACCAAAACAAAAAAAGGCAGAGAAAUUGGAUUGUGGUAUGAUUUGGAAAACAUGAACAACAAUGGCAAUCUUUUUCCUACAAAAGUAUCAUCAGGAUCAAUCUACUCUCGGCUUCUGUUGGGUUAACAAAUGAAAUAAAACAAAUACUUCAUCAGGAGUUUGUCUUGAAAAAAAAAUAUGGUAAAUGCACCUUGUGCUCUUCACAGUAUGACGGGUCUGAAAACCAACUCUCAUCAACUACCACACCAUCCUUUAAUUCUCGGUUGUUUGCAACGGCAGCCAUAGAAGAUGUUAAUACUACUCUUUUGAUACAUGAAACUCUUGCACAAGAGCGCAGCACAUUUAGUGUUCCCUUUACUGCAGGGUCCAAUAGCUCUGCCUAAGAAUCGAAGCAGAAAGAAGAAGUCAGGCAUUGGAGAAACUAUAUACAUAAGCUCCAUCCAUGCUUCAUGACAAAAGUUAUCAUUUAAGUACUCUAAUUCUAACUAGUAAUGGAUUUUUAGUACAUAUGCCUUUCAGUAUACAGCUCCAUUGCAAUGUUUAUUCAUCACGUGGAUCAUCUUAAGUACCAAAAGAACCAACAUUGGGAAACUAGAGAAAUAUGUAUGGCAGUCGUACAAAUAUAGGUUCUUGAACACCUUAGAUCAACUAUCAACACUGCUAAAAAUGAGAAAGUUCAUGCUCCCUGAGAUCUUAAAAGAUUGAAAAGUCUAGCAAAUCUGAUUACUAUUUUAUAGCACUGAAUAACUCCUGUAAUUGCAAUAUGUUCUUUGAAUUGCAGGCUGGGAGCUAAAAUGCUUCUAAAUUUCAACUGGCAAGAGGUAUAGAUCACAUUUGUUCGACUUAUAUACUCAACAGAUGAAACUUCACAACACUUCAUUGUCUUUGCUAAUGAAUUCUGGAAGUAGUAUGAAAUGUUCCAAGAUAUGAAGAAAUUAUCUUCAACAUUUUUGCGUAUCUGCAUUAUUUAUCUCUUACGUUCAGAACAAAAAAUCAAUUAGAAGGUCCUUGUGCACUAUAAAGACAUUGAACUGAAAAUGUUGAAAUUUAACCUGUUUAUCUUUUAUUGUUUCAGUAGACUAACUCAUGCACUCAAUACGAGUAUUAUAAGGUUGCUCAGAUCAAACGUCAGAGGAUUGUAUUAUGCCGUAAAAUUUGCUAAAUCAUCCACAAUGACCUCAAGCAGCAGAGCCAUGAGCCAUCCACUUAAAGAAAUAACUAAAAUGAGUAAAUAUGUCUCUCACAAACUCAUAGAGCAAAAGUACUUGAAAUUUUUGUUGACUUAUGGUCUUUCUCCAAGCGGUCAGAAGGUCAAUGUACCUCAGGGUUGCUGACAGAAAGCAGAACAGGAGAUGCUGUGUGAAAUACGCCUUCACAGCCAUCAACUAGAGCACUGAAGGAUCCAUUUUCUAGUAAGUCUGCCUGAAACAAGUGAAGUCUUUCCUUGGCUCCAUCAAGUGCCAUCAAGAAUUCUGUCUUAUUUGGAUCAUCUGUGGCAUGAAUACAAGCCAGUAUCAUGUUUUUAGCACAAAAAUACUCAAGGCAAACCAAAUUUGUGAUUAAAAGGAUAACAUAGUUCUAAAGAACCGAAAAGUAUGAUGUUAGCGUGUUAUAUAACAUUGAAAAGAGGAAAGAAACAAAAGAUGGUAGGGAGUGACAAUAUGCAGGUACAAUCGAUUCUUGUGCUCUCUAAAGUGCAAAACUUCUUUUUGGCAAAUUAUGUUUCCUCAAACUCUGUUUUGCAAUUUGACAAUGGAUUCUAGUAGCAUCACAGACACCGUAACUUUGAAAAUCAUAAACAUUUUUUAAACGGAAUGAUCACAAAAGUCAAUGUGCAUCUGAUGUUGAUUUAUAAUGAAGUACAAGUUAGCAGCAUAAUUGGACAGUAGUAAAAUGCCACAAUCAUCCAGCAUAAAGCAAGCAAAUCACCUCUCCACCACUAGGUCAUCUCCUCAGAACCAGCUUAUACAAUGCAGGGCAGGGAUCACUAUACAUGUAGAAACUAGUAUCUCCUAGAGAAGAUAAUAUUAUGUGAAAUUCAAACAAAGAUGUUAUAUUAACCAAACAAAUUUGAAGAUAAUAAAAGAUAUGGGGUAAACUUUUCAUUGUUUUGAUUGCUCGCAUCCAAAUCCUGAAGCUUUCAAGAAAAGAAUUUAGCAUAGCUGAAGUUACAUACAAAUCAAUUUCAAGUUAUAAAAGAAAUUUCAUCACCAUUUUUAUGUCAAAAGAAGUUUCCCCGGAAUAAAUUUUGGAAUUAAUUCAUCUAUCCCAUCCUUUUAUCCUUCUGUAUAAUAUACAACAAAUACAAAUAAAACUAACAAAAUUAGAUAGCUUUUAACUUUUAAGGUGCCCUGCCAAUGCCCAGUCUAAAACAUGAUUUUGCACAUAAAGACAACUAUCUUGAAUCCAUCUAACCAGUUAUGUCUCAUAGUGAUGAUCAGAGUUGAACUCACUCAAACUUUUGUUAUAAAAAAAAAAAACCAUUUAAACUAAUUAGCACAAUCGGAAAUGAUACCCUACAUAUUAUAGGUUUAAUGUCUAGUUUAAGUUUGUGCUGGAUAGGGACGUGACAAUGGAAAAAUUUUCCAUGAAUUAAAUAAAUUAGUGUAACACAAAUAAGGGCCUCACAAGUUGAGUUCUCUCUGUUGGGAUAUCAAGUGUGAAUCAAUGUCCCACAUCGAAAAGAGACGAGUAGAAUAAGGAACAUAUAAGUGGAAAUGAUGCAGAUACGCAAAAAUAAUGCAGAUAAUAAUAAAUAAUGCAGAUACGCAAAAAUAAUGCAUUAUUUAUGAUGGAAAUGUUCCAUCAUGAUUUAGAUUAAAGUAUCAAAGUAAUGGAAAUGAUCAUUCAUAUGUGUGUGUAUAUAUAUAUAUAUCGCUCUUUCCUUCAAAAGACUAAUAAUACAUAAAAUUAUAUAAAAUCAUAUUUAUCCUAAAUUAUGUAUUAUUUCUCAACAAUCGAAUUAAGCCAAUUUGUCAAACUCAAAUUCAAGCUUGAGUUCAGCUAGGCUCAUUUAGUUUAACGCAUUCAAACUUCAAUAGUUAACAAAUUGAACUCUUGAACAACACUUACAGUUCAUAUAACAGAUAAUAUAAGAAAAGAGUCUAAAUAUCAAAUAUUAUUCAACUUAUUUAAAAGUGCUAUAUCCACAAAUUCCAAAUACCUCUAUUUUGUAGGACAUAGUGCCACCCAAUAUGCGACGUAGUACCCAAAACCGGUUGAAGCUUUUCCUUGUAAGGUUAUGAUUAAUGUAGGGAACAAGACCUUUGUACAAAACACCUUUUUUUUUUUGGUCGGCAACGGUAGAUGUCCUGUAACCUAAUCUAGCCUAAUCUAGGGUCCUAUAACCUAAUCUAGCCUAAUCUAGGGAAAAGGAGCAAGGGGAGAUGGUCAACUAAGACUAGCCACGUGUUGUGGCAAAUUUGAGGGAGGCAGGGGUAGAACCCCUGACCUCCGGCAUCACCAAAGAGGCUACCCCUCCCUCCAGCGUUACCAAAGAGGGUGAUGACCACCGGACCAAAUAGACAGUGGCACCUUUGUACAAACACAUGCAAAACAGGAAUAAUCUACAACUAUAAACACAAUACAAUUAGCAACUUUCAAGAUGGCUUAUAUGGAGUUUUGAAUGACGUACUGAGAUCACGAACAGAAGCUUUGACAGUAUAACCGCGGUCUAGAAGCAGCUUCACCAGCCAUGAAUCGAUGUAACCCGAAGCUCCAGUCACACACACCACUUUCCCAGCUCCACUCAUCUCCCCUUGGACCCCUUUUGCUUGUUAGUCUUAAGUAUGUUAGCUUGACUACAGAAGAAUUCAUAUACUUUAAUGGACGAAGAAAGUAGUGGCUGUUGAAGUUUCAGCAAAGGACAAAGCGUUGUUUUAACUCCACCUCCUCUUUCCAAGAUGGGACUAGAUUUUUCAAUUUAAUCAUAAUCAGUCGAGACUUUUUGGUAGUAUUUAGUGUCUGAUCAUGACUUCUUUUUUUUUGGUGUGUAAGCGGGAAGUUUCUGAUAACGACGUAAGUCAUAAAUUCUUUCAUGUUCUUAAAUAUAUGUGAGAAUAUUUCCUAUUGAAAUUCUUUUUUUUAAGGAAAUAUUCCAUCAAUAAUAAGUAGACUAAAUAAUUGGUUUUGCAAAAUAGAUGCCUUCCACAUUCAAUUAGAACAAGAAGCAAUACCCUUUAAAUUAAAUGGUAUUUCCAAAAAUGCGUACUUCUAUAUCAAAAAAAAAUUGUAUUCAUAAAAAUAUAUGGAAAGUGAAUGAAUAUUGGAUAGCUUUAAAAGCUUUUUUCUUAAGAAAAUCUCUUUCUACUGGGAAUUCAAAAGGUUUUUUUUUGUAUAGUAAACAAAUAAAUAAGUGAUAAAAGUUUGAGAUAAUUUUGAAAUGACUUUUUCCGUAAUUGGCUUUGGGAAAGUUCAAACUGACAAGAACUAACCUUUAAUAAUUUGUUUGGCUAGGUGAUUAUUUGGAAAAGAAAUUUGAGAACGUAUUUUUCUGUUAUUUUUUUAUCUUUCCAAUCAUCUUUUUGUCUUAAGCACAUUAUAUCACCAAAAAAAAAAAGAGAAAUUGUUACAAUAUAAUCUAAAAUAUGUUUCCAAAUUGUUGGAUAACUUAUCCUUUGGAAAAUUUUUUGUUGCAUUACAAACAUAUUUUUACAAUUAUUUUUUAAUCUUUCUAACUAUCUUUUUUAUCUCACAUGCAUUAAAUCACAAAAAAUAUUACAAUAAUAUUCUAACAAAUUUUUUCAAAAUAAUCUUCCAUCUAAACACACGCCGCAUACCAUUAAUCUCUGAAUCAAACACUUGCUAAUUUAUUCCCAGAAUCAUUUGAUUAGCACAUUCCCACCCUAAUGAGUCCUCAAUAAAUAAAUUAAGUAUUGAACACAUUUUAAACUUCAGCAGGCUCAUGUGGUUUAUGUAGUGCUAAUAAUCCUCAAUUAUUUUUUUUUUUAACAGGAGAAAGGCGCAAAUUAAGAAGUGAGGAGGGGGAGGGGAGGGGGAAUCUAAACUCGGACUUUUAAUUCUUAAGAGUCGUAACUUUAGCCAUUGGAUUAAGCCUUCCUUGGCAUAGCCCUCCUAUGGUUUCAUAUUGCUACAAUAAAAGUUCGAUCAGUUCAAUGAAAGUACCACAGACAAUUACUAACUAGAAUAAAAGUGCACCAGUCACAUAGUUCUAAGAGUUUACUCUCACACAAGAGAAUGAAAAAUUGGAAAAUGUAUAUUUUCCAAUCUCAAUCUGCUUAAGAAUUUUGUUCAGAAGUUAACCAAGUUCCUCUCUUUGAAGCUUUCGAUAGUAUCCUUGAGGCAAACGUU
rnacentral:lncRNA from 1 species